rnacentral:rRNA from 1 species
GGAAUCAACGCUGGCGGCGUGCCUAACACAUGCAAGUCGCACGAGAAAGGGGAGCAAUCCCUGAGUAAAGUGGCGCACGGGUGAGUAACACGUGAAUAAUCUACCUCCGAGUGGGGAAUAACUGAGAGAAAUCUUAGCUAAUACCGCAUAACACUUACGAGUCAAAGCAGCAAUGCGCUUGGAGAGGAGUUCGCGGCCGAUUAGUUAGUUGGCGGGGUAAUGGCCCACCAAGACGAUGAUCGGUA